rnacentral:tRNA from 1 species
UAUUAAGUAGCUCAGUUGGAAGAGCAGCGAUUUACAAUUCGUCGGUCGUGGGUUCGACUCCCACCUUAAUAC